UACGUAGGAGGCGAGCGUUGUCCGGAGUUACUGGGCGUAAAGGGUGCGUAGGCGGCCGCGCGCGUGGGGGGUGAAAUCUCUCGGCUUACCCGGGAGGGGGCUUUCCAGACGGCGUGGCUUGAGGGACGGAGAGGGGCGUGGAAUUCCGGGUGGAGCGGUGAAAUGCGUAGAGAUCCGGAGGAACACCGACGGCGAAGGCAGCGCCCUGGCCGUCUCCUGACGCUGAGGCACGAAAGCUAGGGGAGCGAACAGG
rnacentral:rRNA from 1 species